UGCUCUUUUGAUGCAAGGCGUUGGAAGAGAGAGAGAGAGUAAAGCUAUACUAUGAGAAAAGGAGGGAUAAAAAGGAUGAGAGCUUGGAAAGGGGGAUAAGAUGGAAAGAAAGGGAGGAACAAAGGAAAAGAAAGGCGGUGCGUGUGCUCCUUUCAAGGAUUAAAAGGGGAGACAAGGGAGAAUUAAAGGCCCCAAGGCCCUCAGCUCGAAGCCAAUGGAGAAGAGACGGCACGCACACAGAGAGGAGAUGACGAUGCACGCAUAGAUCUAUGCAAAGAAUAAAAGGUUUGCCAUGGCGGUAUCCAAGAAGAACAAAGCCUGCCUGCCUGCCGGCGAGACGGAUCAUCAUGCCCACAUCUACUCCCAUAAGAAAGCAAAGCUCCGUGACCCAGGCACAGGCAGGCCAAAGAGGAAGAGCAAGACAUCAAGAUCCAACCCGGCAGGAUCCCAAUUGCGCUCCUCGCCAGCGAUUCUCCCUUCUCCCUGCGCGCGAACGAGGGCCGAUCGAGCGAGGGAGAAGACGAGCUCAGGAGCAGGAGGAAGAAGAUGAGGAGGAGCCUACUACUGGAUGGGACGGGCGAGGCGAGGGAGGAGGAAUGCCCUGUGGAUGGCCCGAGUGGAAUUGCUCCCCCCUUCUCUAGUCUCCUCCUCCAUAUGUCAUGAGAUAGUGGGAUUCUUUUCUGCAAUUUUUUUAUGUGCUCUAGCUGGCCUGGGCGAAGGCAGGAGGAAGAGCAAGGGAAAUUUGGUGCCCCUGGCAGUUCUGGAAAUGCGUCAAAAUUCUUUCUU